GAUGAACGCUGGCGGCAGGCCUAACACAUGCAAGUCGAGCGGAUGAGGGGUGCUUGCACCCCGAUUCAGCGGCGGACGGGUGAGUAAUGCCUAGGAAUCUGCCCGAUAGUGGGGGACAACGUUUCGAAAGGAACGCUAAUACCGCAUACGUCCUACGAGAGAAAGUGGGGGCUCUUCGGACCUCACGCUAUCGGAUGAGCCUAGGUCGGAUUAGCUAGUUGGUGGGGUAAAGGCUCACCAAGGCGACGAUCCGUAACUGGUCUGAGAGGAUGAUCAGUCACACUGGAACUGAGACACGGUCCAGACUCCUACGGGAGGCAGCAGUGGGGAAUAUUGGACAAUGAGCGAAAGCCUGAUCCAGCCAUGCCGCGUGCAGGAAGAAGGCCUUCUGGGUUGUAAACUGCUUUUGUCAGGGGAUAAAAUGAGCGUGCGCGCUUAAUUGAAGGUACCUGGCGAAUAAGCCACGGCUAACUACGUGCCAGCCGCCGCCGUAA
rnacentral:rRNA from 1 species